rnacentral:rRNA from 1 species
UACGUAGGGUGCGAGCGUUGUCCGGAAUUAUUGGGCGUAAAGAGCUUGUAGGCGGUUUGUCGCGUCUGCUGUGAAAACGCGAGGCUCAACCUCGCGCCUGCAGUGGGUACGGGCAGACUAGAGUGCGGUAGGGGAGAUUGGAAUUCCUGGUGUAGCGGUGGAAUGCGCAGAUAUCAGGAGGAACACCGAUGGCGAAGGCAGAUCUCUGGGCCGUAACUGACGCUGAGGAGCGAAAGCGUGGGGAGCGAACAGG